GACGAACUGUGCAAACGUUAUUCGGAAUCACUGGGCUUGAAGAGUGCGUAGGCGGUUUUGUAAGUAGGGUGUGAAAGCCUCCGGCUUAACCGGGGAAUUGCGCUCUGAACUGCAAGGCUGGAGUGAGGUAGGGGUGUGUGGAACUUCUAGUGGAGCGGUGAAAUGUGUUGAUAUUAGAAGGAACGCCGGUGGCGAAAGCGACA
rnacentral:rRNA from 1 species